GGCUAUGGUGAGCUAUGAUUGUACCACUGCAUUCCAGCCUGGAUAACAAGGCGAGAUCCUGUCUCUUAAAAAUGAAAAAAAAAACCUGUUGGGAACCAGCCUAACCCUGUAUAUGGGUGCCUUGAGUCCCAGUGGCCAUGAGGGAGUGAGAGAAGAAAUAAGACAAAGACGAGUAGAAUUUGACAGCAUGGGUCCAGGGGGCCAACACACUCUCUUGUAGGGUGAAUGGCAGAGCACUGAACUUUGGGCUCCACGUGUGGCAGGAGAAUUGCUUGAACCUGGAAGGCAG